UACGUAGGUGGCAAGCGUUGUCCGGAAUUAUUGGGCGUAAAGCGCGCGCAGGCGGUCCUUUAAGUCUGAUGUGAAAGCCCACGGCUCAACCAUGGAAGGUCAUUGGAAACUGGAGGACUUGAGUACAGAAGAGGAAAGCGGAAUUCCACGUGUAGCGGUGAAAUGCGUAGAGAUGUGGAGGAACACCAGUGGCGAAGGCGGCUUUCUGGUCUGUAACUGACGCUGAGGCGCGAAAGCGUGGGGAGCAAACAGG
rnacentral:rRNA from 1 species